rnacentral:misc_RNA from 1 species
CCGAGUUUACAACUCCCAAACCCCUGCUGAACAUACCUGUUUUGUUGCUUCGGCGGUGCCCUCGCUCUCGUGCGAGGCCCGCCAGAGGACCCAAACAAACUCUUUGAUUUUGAUCUAGGAUUUUACUUCUGAGUGAUAUACAAAAUAAAUCA